CCUACGGGAGGCAGCAGUGGGGAAUAUUGGACAAUGGGGGGAACCCUGAUCCAGCCAUGCCGCGUGUGUGAAGAAGGCCCUCGGGUUGUAAAGCACUUUCAGUGAGGAAGAACGCCUGGUGGUUAAUACCCAUCAGGAAAGACAUCACUCACAGAAGAAGCACCGGCUAACUCCGUGCCAGCAGCCGCGGUAAUACGGAGGGUGCGAGCGUUAAUCGGAAUUACUGGGCGUAAAGCGCGCGUAGGUGGCUUGAUAAGCCGGUUGUGAAAGCCCCGGGCUCAACCUGGGAACGGCAUCCGGAACUGUCAAGCUAGAGUGAAGGAGAGGAAGGUAGAAUUCCCGGUGUAGCGGUGAAAUGCGUAGAGAUCGGGAGGAAUACCAGUGGCGAAGGCGGCCUUCUGGACUGACACUGACACUGAGGUGCGAAAGCGUGGGUAGCAAACAGGAUUAGAUACCCUAGUAGUC
rnacentral:rRNA from 1 species